rnacentral:rRNA from 1 species
UACGGAGGGUGCAAGCGUUAUCCGGAUUCACUGGGUUUAAAGGGUGCGUAGGUGGGCAGGAAAGUCAGUGGUGAAAUCUCCGGGCUUAACCCGGAACUGCCGUUGAUACUAUUUGUCUUGAAUAUUGUGGAGGUAAGCGGAAUAUGUCAUGUAGCGGUGAAAUGCUUAGAUAUGACAUAGAACACCAAUUGCGAAGGCAGCUUACUACACAAUGAUUGACGCUGAGGUGCGAAAGCGUGGGGAGCAAACAGG